AUUGAACGCUGGCGGCAGGCCUAACACAUGCAAGUCGAACGAGUGGCGGACGGGUGAGUAAUGUCUGGGAAACUGCCUGAUGGAGGGGGAUAACUACUGGAAACGGUAGCUAAUACCGCAUACCAUCAGAUGUGCCCAGAUGGGAUGAGCUAGUAGGUGGGGUAAAGGCUCACCACGGAGACGCUCCCUAGCGGGUCUGAGAGGAUGAACUGCCACACUGGAAAUGAGACACGUUCCAGACUCCUACGGGAGGAAGCAGUGGGGAAUAUUGCACAAUGGGCGCAAGCCUGAUGCAGCCAUGCCGCGUGUAUGAAGAAGGCCUUCGGGGUGUAAAGUACUUUCAGCGGGGAGGCGUUACCCGGAGAAGAAGCACCGGCUAACUCCGUGCCAGCAGCCGCGGUAAUAC
rnacentral:rRNA from 1 species